GAUGAACGCUGACAGAAUGCUUAACACAUGCAAGUCAACUUGAAUUUGGGUUUUUAACUUAGGUUUGGGUGGCGGACGGGUGAGUAACGCGUAAAGAACUUGCCUCACAGCUAGGGACAACAUUUGGAAACGAAUGCUAAUACCUAAUAUUAUGAUAAUAGGGCAUCCUAUAAUUAUGAAAGCUAUAAGCGCUGUGAGAGAGCUUUGCGUCCCAUUAGCUAGUUGGAGAGGUAACGGCUCGCCAAGGCGAUGAUGGGUAGCCGGCCUGAGAGGGUGAUCGGCCACAAGGGGACUGAGACACGGCCCUUACUCCUACGGGAGGCAGCAGUGGGGAAUAUUGGACAAUGGACCAAGAGUCUGAUCCAGCAAUUCUGUGUGCACGAUGAAGUUUUUCGGAAUGUAAAGUGCUUUCAGUUGGGAAGAAAGAAAUGACGGUACCAACAGAAGAAGUGACGGCUAAAUACGUG
rnacentral:rRNA from 1 species